AUGUGGGUAGCUCAGUUGGUUAGAGUGUGGGGCUGAUAACACCACGGCUUCAGGUUCAAUUCCCCUGUAGGACUGCUGCAUA